ACGCUUCCCUAGCAGGGGAGAUACCAUGAUUAUAAAAGUGGUUUUCUCAAGGUGAAGCUCACAUAUUGAACCCUGGAUGUGCUGUUGUCCCCUGUGAUUUCUUCAAAGAUGGAGAACUUGACUGUAUAAUGUGUGGAAAUAUGUGUUCUUCCCCCCAAA
ensembl:snRNA Gm24038 predicted gene, 24038